GGAGGCGUCGCAUAGUGGUCGAGUGCACCAUCUUGGAAAGAUGGCAUACCUUAACGGGUAUCAGAGGUUCGAAUCCUCUCGCCUCCG
rnacentral:tRNA from 1 species